rnacentral:rRNA from 1 species
GACGAACGCUGGCGGCGUGCCUAAUACAUGCAAGUAGAACGCUGAAGCGAGGAGCUUACUCUUCUUGGAUGAGUUGCGAACGGGUGAGUAACGCGUAGGUAACCUGCCUUGUAGCGGGGGAUAACUAUUGGAAACGAUAGCUAAUACCGCAUAACAAUGGAUGACACAUGUCAUUUAUUUGAAAGGGGCAAUUGCUCCACUACAAGAUGGACCUGCGUUGUAUUAGCUAGUAGGUGAGGUAAUGGCUCACCUAGGCGACGAUACAUAGCCGACCUGAGAGGGUGAUCGGCCACACUGGGACUGAGACACGGCCCAGACUCCUACGGGAGGCAGCAGUAGGGAAUCUUCGGCAAUGGGGGCAACCCUGACCGAGCAACGCCGCGUGAGUGAAGAAGGUUUUCGGAUCGUAAAGCUCUGUUGUAAGUCAAGAACAGGUGUGAGAGUGGAAAGUUCACACUGUGACGGUAGCUUACCAGAAAGGGACGGCUAACUACGUG